rnacentral:rRNA from 1 species
UACGUAGGGUGCGAGCGUGUCCGGAAUUAUUGGGCGUAAAGAGCUUGUAGGCGGUUUGUCGCGUCUGCCGUGAAAAUUCGAGGCUCAACCUCGAACUUGCGGUGGGUACGGGCAGACUAGAGUGCGGUAGGGGAGAUUGGAAUUCCUGGUGUAGCGGUGGAAUGCGCAGAUAUCAGGAGGAACACCAACGGCGAAAGCACUCUGCUGGGCCGACACUGACACUGAGAGACGAAAGCUAGGGGAGCGAAUGGG